CGGCCUUUGUUUUAAGUCAAAAUUUGAAUUCACACUUCAAGAAUCCAUAAAUAAUAUUAUGAAGGCCAC
rnacentral:tRNA from 2 species